AACCUAGCACACCUGCGGUGUGUACCUGCGGAAGGAUCAUUAUAGUAUAUGGAAUCUCCAUUCUAUAAACCCACUCUGCGUAUCUUGUAACUGUUGCUUCCAUGGGACUUGGUUCCGCCACACCGGCUUCACGGCUGGUGAGCGCCCAUGGAAGGAGAAACAAAACUCUUCUUUGAAAUGUAGUCAGUCUGAACAAGUUUUUAUAAACGUUAAAACUUUCAACAAUGGAUCUCAGAUCGG
rnacentral:misc_RNA from 1 species